UACGUAGGGUGCGAGCGUUGUCCGGAAUUAUUGGGCGUAAAGGGCUCGUAGGCGGUCUGUUGCGUCGGGAGUGAAAACUCAGGGCUUAACCCUGAGCCUGCUUCCGAUACGGGCAGACUAGAGGUAUGCAGGGGAGAACGGAAUUCCUGGUGUAGCGGUGAAAUGCGCAGAUAUCAGGAGGAACACCGGUGGCGAAGGCGGGUCUCUGGACCGAUACUGACGCUGAGGAGCGAAAGCGUGGGGAGCAAACAGG
rnacentral:rRNA from 1 species